rnacentral:rRNA from 1 species
AGCAGCCGCGGUAAUUCCAGCUCCAAUAGCGUAUAUUAAAGUUGUUGCAGUUAAAAAGCUCGUAGUUGAAUUUCGGGGUUAGUAAGUUGGUUGUGCCACUGGUAUGUACUGGCUUUACUGAUUCCUCCUUCUUGUAGAACCGUAAUGCCAUUAAGUUGGUGUUGCGGGGAAACAGGACUGUUACCUUGAAAAAAAUUAGAGUGUUUAAAGCAAGCUAACGCUUGAAUACAUUAGCAUGGAAUAAUGAAAUAGGACGUUCGAUCCUAUUUUUGUUGGCUUCUAGGAUUGACGUAAUGAUUAAUAGGGAUAGUUGGGGGCAUUAGUAUUCAAUUGUCAGAGGUGAAAUUCUUGGAUUUAUUGAAGACUAACUACUGCGAAAGCAUUUUGCCAAGGAUGUUUUCAUUAAUCAAGAACGAAAGUUAGGGGAUCGAAGACGAUCAGAUACCGUCGUAGUCUUAACCAUAAACUAUGCCGACUAGGGAUCGGAUGAUGUUAAUUUUAUAAUGACUCAUUCGGCGCC